UGGGCCACACUCUUGUUUUAGUCUCAAAUUUAUUUUCCAGGCUUUGGACCGGAUUGAGGCUCAAAAAUUCUUUUCAACAUCCCAGUUCAAACUUGGGUUUGGUUAAAGUUUAUUUGGACCAGACUUGAAAAAGCAUAUUUGGGCCGAAAAUGCUUGGCCCAACUAUAAAGACUCUUGGUGGAAUAUUCUAAUAAAAGAAAUUCUUUGUGCACCACGAGUAGCGUAGAAAAUUUGACAU
rnacentral:lncRNA from 1 species